GAAAAGAAGAAGAAGGACGUGUUAAUGUUUCAACACACCCGACCCUCCCCGACCCUUGUUCCCCUCGCCCGAUCUCGGCCACAUGUAUACAUGUAUAUGCAAACACGACGUACACAAUUAUUACAUGGAACAUUCGUGUAGAGAGACUUCUUCUUCGACCACGACGACGACGACGACGACGACGAUGAUGAUGCUGCAUCUUGCACACCGAACCCAAACCCCAACGUACGCGCAUCCUGUUUCAAAAGCCACACAAAAUUUACUCUACUCUCCGACCGACUGUGGUAGCCGACGCCUGCUGCACUUUGCACCGGUCUUCUUCCUGCACUACAAAGAGCGGUAAAUGAAAACGAGAGGGAAAAAAAAAUUGAUAACUCGGAUUCAGGUAUUCCAUGUACCGUUCAAUUUUUGCAUCAGAUUCGCGAAUGUCUUAAGGAUUGGGAAAAUCUUGGAAAAACAUUACGGAGGAAAAUAGAGAAAAAGACGAAUCAUGGCAACGGAAAAAAUGCAUUUAUUGUAUCUGGUAGGACCGGAAACAGGAGGUGGAUUGUGUGAUUCGAAAAAAUAGGAAAUGCAACGCCAGAUUUUUUGGCCAAAUCUUUUAUUUGGUUUCGUCGCUGGACUCGCUCUGGUUUUCUUCUUUCUCGUGCAUCAUUUUAUGAAUUUUCGUAUCUUAUUUUCUAACGUCGCGGUCGGACCGAGAACAGGUGUCUCGUUAUUGGUAUACUACUAAUCUGGGGUUGAAAACUCGUCGGUUUACACGACCAACCCGCACGAAACUGAAAGACGCGUAGACUGGUUUUUAAACUUUCGUUCACGAUUGCAGUAGCUCUGAUAGCAUUGUCGCACAGGUAUAAUCGAGAAUCCCGUCGUUCAAUCCCCACUUCAUUUGAAUUUUUCUUAAUUUUAUCAACCGCGUUUGACGCCGCACCGCCGUACGUAUACGUAGUGUAACGUUUUUCGCCAAAUACGCUAUCGCAAUCAUCGUCAUCAUCAUCAAGUCAUAAAUAAUAAAUGACGGAAGUCGCUAAACGAGUCAGUCAGUCGGUCGUUAUCGUCGACGUCUGUAAGUACAUAUGCGUAUACGCGGUAAAUCUCAAUGAUAAAAAUUAUAACGUUCGUUCGUCGUCGAGACGAAUAAUGAAGAAGUAUGAGAAAAAAAAUAAAAGAAAAAAAAAAAACAACGUAAAGAAAUGAAAAAGAAAAACUGAAUAACCGAAGGGGGAGUCUUUCGACCAAUUUAUUUUGAUCAUCGACGAUGGAUCGUGUAUCUCUCGUUGUUAUCAUCAUUAUCGACGUUGCGUUGCACGCGCGUUACGUCCAAACCGAUACUGUACUAGGUAUAAUUCCACAAUAGUUACAUCAUUGAAAUUAUUGAACUUUGACGUUACGGAGAGAGAGAGAGAAAGUUUUCGAAUUUAUUUCCAACCGUACAGAAAUCGUUUGCAGUGGUUAUUUCAACGCGAGUUGAUAUUCCUUCUCUUUGUUCUCUCUCUCUCUAAUUCCUUUUUCAUUUUAAUUCAUCUUUUUAAUAACUCGCUCAAAGGGGGAUGUAUAAUGCAAAGCCGGUUCGAAUCGCGAAACCAGUUGAACCAGGUGGAGACGACGGUUAGUCUGGUCCGUUCGACCGACUCGUCGUUGUCACUGUCGUCGCUCCGUCUAUUCGUCGUCGUCGUCGUCGUUUCUCCGUGUCUCGCUCUUCGCCCGCCCGUAUAAUACAUCAACUCUCGCGAGUCUCUCUGGAUUUACCGCACCUCGCGAACGCUUUUUUUACACGUUCUUUUACCUCCGUUCCUCUUCCCUCUUACCGCCGCGUCCCACCGUCUCUCCGGACACGGCCUGCCCCGGCGGAAAUGCGAUAAAAUAUCAUCGCGAACGGGACGGGAACGGAAAACAGGGUUCAACUGCACCUGAACCUGAAUCG